GUUUUUCAUAUACCCCUAUAGAAUGUAACAGAAUGUAUCAUUGGGCCUUGUGCCUAUAAACCUUAUACAACUUUCAGCAACGGAUCUCUUGGCUCUCGCAUCGAUGAAGAACGCAGCGAAAUGCGAUAAGUAAUGUGAAUUGCAGAAUUCAGUGAAUCAUCGAAUCUUUGAACGCACCUUGCGCUCCUUGGUAUUCCGAGGAGCAUGCCUGUUUGAGUGUCAUUAAAUUCUCAACCUUAUUAACUUUUGUUGAUAAUGGAUUGGAUUGUGGGGGUUUCUUUUGCUGGCUUCUUCACAGAGAUCAGCUCCCCUUAAAUGCAUUAGCUGGUGCCCCGCGUGGACCAUCUAUUGGUGUGAUAAUUAUCUACGCCGUGGAUGUCUGCAAUCAUAUGGGUUUCGCACUGCUUCUAACCGUCUGUUCAUUCGGACAAUACAUGACAAUUGACCUCAAAUCAGG
rnacentral:rRNA from 1 species